rnacentral:misc_RNA from 1 species
GAUGAAGAACGUAGCGAAAUGCGAUAAGUAAUGUGAAUUGCAGAAUUCAGUGAAUCAUCGAAUCUUUGAACGCACCUUGCGCUCCUUGGUACUCCGAGGAGCAUGCCUGUUUGAGUGUCAUUAAAUUCUCAACCAUUAUCAACUUUUGCUGAUAAUGGCUUGGAUGUGGGGGUCUAUUUUGCUGGCUUCUCAGAUAGUCAGCUCCCCUUAAAUGCAUUAGCCGGUGCCCCGCGUGGACUGUCUAUUGGUGUGAUAAUUAUCUACGCUAUGGACAUCUGCAAUCAUAUGGGUUUGCGCUGCUUCUAACAGUCUGUUGAUUCAGACAAUACAUGACAAUUUGACCUCAAAUCAGGUAGGACUACCCGCUGAACUUAAGCAUAUCAAUAAGCGGAGGA